rnacentral:misc_RNA from 1 species
AGCCACAGUCUAGCAGAAAGAGUACUUUUCUUUAGUCCUCUUAAAGUUAUAUUUAAUUGGAAAAAAGGGGAAAGAAAAAAUAUUACUACUAAUUAAUAGCAACUAAAAGAGAUUGACAAAGAGCUUAGAUCAAAGAUCCUAUAGUUUCUUUUAUUUAUUUAUGCACUCUUUAUUGUUAAAGCUAUUUUGCUGUAUAUAAAUCUAUCAUAUUAACUUUUUCUGAUGUGAAUUAUUUUGGACAGGCUAGGAGAGAAAAGAU